GUGGUUGUUCGGUUGAAAGUGGACAGUGUACUGUUGUCCAUGACACCACAGACGGGGAUACUGGUGCUCACCGACAGGACCUAGUCUGUUAUUGGGCUCCCUGUGUGAUGGUUCCAGACAAA